rnacentral:rRNA from 1 species
GAUGAACGCUAGCGGCAGGCCUAACACAUGCAAGUCGAGGGAGAGGUUACCUUCGGGUAACCAAAACCGGCGCACGGGUGCGUAACGCGUAUACAAUCUGCCUUUCACAUGGGGAUAGCCCGAAGAAAUUUGGAUUAAUACCUAAUGGUAUAUAAGAGCGGCAUCGUUUUUAUAUUAAAGCUACGGUGGUGAAAGAUGAGUAUGCGUUCUAUUAGCUAGUUGGAGAGGUAACGGCUCCCCAAGGCGACGAUAGAUAGGGGUUCUGAGAGGGAUGUCCCCCACACUGGUACUGAGAUACGGACCAGACUCCUACGGGAGGCAGCAGUGAGGAAUAUUGGACAAUGGUCGGAAGACUGAUCCAGCCAUGCCGCGUGCAGGAUGAAGGUCCUAUGGAUUGUAAACUGCUUUUGUAAGGGAAGAAUAAGGAGUACGUGUACUUUGAUGACGGUACCUUACGAAUAAGCAUCGGCUAACUCCGUG